ACACAGGGAUUGCCUUAGUAACUGCGAGUGAAGCGGCAAAAGCUCAAAUUUGAAAUCUGGCGUCCUCUGGACGUCCGAGUUGUAAUUUGGAGGAGCGUCUUCGGGAGCGGCACUGUCCUAAGUUCUUUGGAACAGGACGUCAUAGAGGGUGAGAAUCCCGUGCCUGGGCGGUUGCCCGUUCCCAUGUGAAGUGCUUCCGACGAGUCGAGUUGUUUGGGAAUGCAGCUCAAAAUGGGUGGUAAAUUUCAUCUAAAGCUAAAUAUUGGCGAGAGACCGAUAGCGCACAAGUAGAGUGAUCGAAAGAUGAAAAGCACUUUGAAAAGAGAGUUAAAAAGUACGCGAAAUUGUUGAAAGGGAAGCGCUUGAGAUCAAACUCGGCCUUUGGUGAUCCACUGGGCUUCUGUCCGGUGAAACUUUGCCAUUGGCCGGGCCAGCAUCGGUUCUGACGGUGGGAAAAACGGCCGGGGAAUGUGGCUCCUCUCGGGGAGUGUUAUAGACCUGGCCUUAGAUACCGCCAGUUGGGACCGAGGACCGCGCUUCGGCUAGGAUGCUGGCGUAAUGGUCUUAAGCGACCCGUCUUGAAACACGGACCAAGGAGUCUAACAUCUAUGCGAGUGUUCGGGUGGAAAACCCUUGCGCGUAAUGAAAGUGAACGGAGGUGGGAACCGCAAGGUGCACCAUC
rnacentral:rRNA from 1 species